rnacentral:rRNA from 1 species
GACGUAGGGCGCGAGCGUUGUCCGGAUUUAUUGGGCGUAAAGAGCUCGUAGGCGGCUUGUCGCGUCGGCUGUGAAAACCCGCGGCUCAACUGUGGGCGGGCAGCUGAUACGGGCAGGCUGGAGUUCGGUAGGGGAGACUGGAAUUCCUGGUGUAGCGGUGAAAUGCGCAGAUAUCAGGAGGAACGCCGGUGGCGAAAGCGGUCCGCUGGAUCUCUACUGACGCUGAGGCGCGAAAGCCAGGGGAGCAAACGGG